AACGAACGCUGGCGGCAUGCCUAACACAUGCAAGUCGAACGAUACCUUCGGGUCUAGUGGCGCACGGGUGCGUAACGCGUGGGAACCUGCCCUUAGGUUCGGAAUAACUCCCCGAAAGGGGUGCUAAUACCGGAUAAUGUCUUCGGACCAACGAUUUAUCGCCUUUGGAUGGGCCCGCGUUGGGUUAGCUAGUUGGUAGGGUAAAAGCCUACCAAGGCGACGAUCCAUAGCUGGUCUGAGAGGAUGAUCAGCCACACUGGGACUGAGACACGGCCCAGACUCCUACGGGAGGCAGCAGUGGGGAAUAUUGGACAAUGGGCGAAAGCCUGAUCCAGCAAUGCCGCGUGAGUGAUGAAGGCCUUAGGGUUGUAAAGCUCUUUUACCCGGGAUGAUAAUGACAGUACCGGGAGAAUAAGCUCCGGCUAACUCCGUG
rnacentral:rRNA from 1 species